AGCUGGAAGCAUCUUUUGCGAGACGCAGAACGACAUACCAACAUCUUUUGCAUUAUUGUAUGGUACAAAUAUCUGUAAAGUAUUAUUUUAAAAGUGUUUGUAUAUUUUGUUUAUAUGUUCAGUUUUAGUGAAUAUUAAUAAUAAAUAUCAUUAAAUAUUAUUGCAACGCGGCAAUAUUUGUUCAAAAUUUCAACUACAACCUACAAUCGUUAUUUCUGUUACGCUCUUAAUUUCAAAAGGGCUCAUAACAAAGGCAUGUAUAUCUUGAAAAGGAAGCUACCCAUUGGUAACACCUCUAAACAAAAUAUAACAAUGGUAAUAUGUUAUUAUUGAGGCAAUUAAACAUUUACAUUAAUUACUUUAUUUUUGUAUGUUCAGAAUUUGUGUAAGGACUAUACCUCCCCCCUCCUCCCAAAGAAAUGCUCAUCAUGCUACACCUACGCACCCUUCCGUCCAAAAUCACAAAAUAUUGCCUAUCCAACGACAAAGACAUUAUUUAUUGUAAUUUUAUAAAAUAUAUUAAUUUUCGUUUUCAUAUAAAAUAUAUUCAUGAAUUAUUCAUAAACGAUACUGUAAAAACCACAUUUCACAGAUCCAACGUCACAGCGGACGUGUAGAUUAGACUAAAACGGAUUCUGUUUUCUGUUGGCGCUAAACCUGUUAAAAAAUUAGGUAAUAAUUUACAAUGACCGCCACAAAAAAAAAAAAGUCAUUACACCAAGGACAAGGUCGCAAGCGUGUAGAGAAUAGCUUGUAUAACUUGUCAACUGUCUACACGUCUAGUCUUCCAAAUGAAAGUAAAUUUAUUUUCUCACAAAAAAUCUUAUUCAUAUUUUGCCAAGAGCCAUACUGAGGGAGAUGCGGGCGUGUAAAAGUCAAAACCAAGUUGUUGCAGUAGAAAUUUAAUGUUUAUUGAUGAAUUUACCAAGAAAUAACGGAAAAAGUAAAUGUAUCAUUUCAACGACGAAAUAGGAAAAAUAAAUGACAUAUUCUUCUUCGACCCUGGCGCAUCCGAAGACAAGGUUGCUGAAGCAGAAGAAAAGCUGUUUAUGUUGGUCUACCAGGCGCCAGAAGAAAUUAAUCUUCGACUUCGACGUGCAGCGUUCAUCAAGGCUUCACAACUAAGCUGAAACCUGAUUGGACAGCCCUACAACCGAUAGAAACCACGAUGGCAGCGAUCCAGCAACGGCUUCUUCCAAACUUUGACAGAAAAAUAAAAUUUUCAACCAUGAAAUAGGGAUGGACCCCAAGGGUGGUGAUGGAUGCCUCGUCCCACUGACCCUAUAGCUCCGGACUCAUUAAGAAAUUAUAUAUUUCUGCGAAGGACAUUGUGGCUGCAGAAAAGCACUUGUCACGGUGUUUGUACAAAUGGUCCUCCUGGACAGGACAUGCAAGAUGGCAGUGAUGACCUUGAAGAUAGGAUUAUUGAUAACACAACCAUAAUAAUGUUAGUAAUCAUGAUGAUCAUAAUGACGAUGUAAGCCUGUAAAUAGUGUUUUGAAAUAUUAUACCUACCAGUUUUUCCUUAAGUAUUUUCGAUUUUUUCAUCACCUGCU